CCGCACGAGCGCACCCUUAUCCUUAGUUGCCAGCACGUAAUGGUGGGAACUCUAACGAUACUGCCGGUGACAAACCGGAGGAAGGUGGGGACGACGUCAGGUCAUCAUGGCCCUUACGAGAUGGGCUACACACGUGCUACAAUGGCAAGUACAAAGGGUUGCAAACUCGCGAGAGUAAGCGGAUCCCAUAAAGCUUGUCGUAGUCCGGAUUGGAGUCUGCAACUCGACUCCAUGAAGUCGGAAUCGCUAGUAAUCGUGGAUCAGAAUGCCACGGUGAAUACGUUCCCGGGCCUUGUACACACCGCCCGUCACACCAUGGGAGUGGGCUGCAAAAGAAGUGGAUAGCUUAACCUUCGGGAGGGCGUUCACCACUUUGUGGUUCAUGACUGGGGUGAAGUCGUAACAAGGUAGCCGUAGGGGAACCUGCGGCUGGAUCACCUCCUU
rnacentral:rRNA from 1 species